rnacentral:lncRNA from 10 species
AUUGAUUUUAUCAAUAUCUUUAAUGAAAAAAUGCAAUUCACAGAAGGUUGCAAACAAUGAUUUCAAAUGGUAUAAUAUUUGAAAAAGGUGAAGUUAAACAAUAUUGUUUGGGGAUACAUAGAAAAGUGGUAAAAUUCAAGUUGGAGUUACCUUUAGAGAGAGGAGAGAAAUUUGAAUGAGGAGGGACACACAGGGGAACUUCAUAGGGACUGGUAAUAAUCUAUUUCUUAACGUAUUGUUUCUCUAAUAUUUUUGAAACCACUUAUAUGUAUUAUAUAUGCAGUUUUAUAAUUACAAAAUAAUCAUAAUUUUUUAAAAGCAAUUUUGUGACUCAGCUGGCUGCCACUUCAAAUGCUCAUGAAUUUGAAAAAAGUAAUUUAAAAAAAGAAAAUGUCUUCUGCCUACAUAACCCUGUUUACCUACUAAACAGGUUUGGUUUUGUUUUUUUGUUUGUAAUCAUAGGAUUCAGCGUCUUGUAUAGUCUUGUGAAUCAUGAAUCUCCAAGAGAAGAACUUAAAAUUCCAUAAUUUCCAAACUUUUUUAACCAUGGAAUAUUUAGACUUGGAAUACCUAAAAUACAGAUAUGGUUCGAGAAAAAUACUUUUCUACAGAUGUGUCCUAGUUCUGUGCCACACCUCCCACCCCCAACCCGGAGCUAUUCAUUUCUGCAUUCUUGGUCCCAAACCCUAGCUGAGUGUCUAGGACGCUGCUUCCCAUCUGCCUACCUAGACUCCUGUUCACUGCUGGCUCCUAGGUUCCUAGAGAUGUUGCAAAACCUGCUUGCUUGGAAAAGUCCACAUUCUGGCCUUCCACUCUGGCCUGAGACAGGAUUUCUCCGGGCCUGUCGUCCUCCACAUACCCCUUUCAUGCUGUGUUCUACCUGCGGCACUGGCGUUCCUCCCAGCACUUGCGGAGGGGCCUGUCUGCUUAUCGCUUAUUCCAGCACAGGAGGCAGUCAUUCCAGAUCAUCCGACCCUGCCCUGCUCCCCAACCCGUCAGAUCAUAUUGGAUGUGACUUGACAUAAGAUCAUGAGACUUGAAAAUCAUAUCCCUGGGGACAAGCAGAACUGGAGUGACAGAGAAGAAAAGACUUAGGCAGACAGGCACCAGAAAAGUAUUGCGGCAUUUGCCCGUGAGGUCACCACUAAACACAUGGUCAUUUCUGAGGCUCAAAGUGUAGCCCAGAAUCAUAGCUGAAAUCUCUGGGUCUUCCAAAGAGAAGAAUCAGCCUUAAUAGUUGAUUAGUGGAUAUGACUCAAGCAAGCCAGAUAGCCCACAGACAAAUGGGCCAUGGAAGAAGAAAACCCUUACAAAAGCAGCACUACCAGCAGUCUCUGAGAUAGACAAGCAGAAGGCUACAGGGCUACAAGGCAGUGAGAAGCGCAGAAAUGCUAUUGUGGAGGAUCUUAGGAGGCAGGACCUGAGUUCCGGACAAUUGCAGCUAAGGGUGAAAUGAAGCCAGGUAAAUACUGUUGUGACUAUAUUUUUGUCCCCUCUGUUUCUCUCUCCAUCUCCCUGACUUAUGUGGCCUAGGGAAAGAGAAGUUAUGUUACAAAUGAAAUUCAAAUUAGUAUGUUGUGACUUACUAAGUAACGUUUCAAACUUUAAGACAAAAGUCAAACAGUAUAGGGUUCUUUAAGCAGUUCUGGCUAGCAUUAAAUGAAAAGGAAUAUUUUUGAAGAAUAUCAGAUAACUCACAGAAUCAACAGAAAGCUGGAGAACAAGGCCCAGAAACACGAUGGAAACCCAGGAUGGCCAGUGGGGACUAGCCAGGGCCUCAGGACCCAUAUGGGUAGGGCAGUGUCUGUGCUGCCCUAGGCCACCACAGCCUAGGGGUGCUCAAAACCAACAGGGCUGACUGCCAAAUCUCAAAGGCUCUGCCGCCACCAUAAGGAAAGUCUGACCUGUUCCAGAUUCUUAGCAAAGUUCUCUUAAGAGUCAAAGUGUGAGAUGGUACUGCCUGUUUGGCUGAACCAAGAUCACAGGCUGGCUCCUGCAUGGCCUUUGGGCUGGGAGAGAGGAACUCCCCCCUUUGGUUUCCAUCGUGAAAGAAGAGCAGCCUGCACACCCAGCAGGCAGGUGGGUGGGGAGGUCCCAAACCCAGAAUGGUGCGUAGCUGGCUGAGCAGCACAAAGAAAUGACGACUGUUCACUACAACAUUAUAAUGUUGUGCGGUGCUAUAAACUAACAGUACUGUGAAUAAUAACUAUUAAAAUGAGUGUGAAAUGACUUAAUGUGAAUAAAUGAAGAAAUGCUGUGUGUGAGUGUGAAUGACUAUGAAGGUUGCCAGCUGUGAGCAACAAGAGGAUUGCAAGAGGAAAUCAAAGGACACAGCUUCACAGGUGACAGCACAGAGGCCAGAGAACAGAACUAGCACAAGGUUCCCAGACCUGCAGGGAACUGACUAAGGAAGAGCUAGAAGCUUCUGUCAGGCUGGGAAGGGGCCUCAGCAUGAACAGAAAGUCCCCCUCCACUAGGCUCAGAGAGGGCUGGUACCUCAGGGGUCUUCUUAAGGAAAAGCUCAGCUGAAUAGAGCAAGUUCUUGCCAAUAAAACUCCCCAGACGAUUCCAUGUCAACCACAGCUGCAAAUGGAGAGUGGUCAUCUCUGAAUGAUGGGGUUGAUAGGAAGUAUUUAUCUCUGUUUAGAAUAUUCAUGUGCUAAGCUUUCUAUGGUAAACAUGUGUGGCUUUUAUAAUCAGAAAAGAAAGAGUGAAAGAAAUAAGACAAACUUCGGUAAAAGCUGCCCCUUUCUUUUCUCUUCCUGUAAGAAUAAAUAAAUCAUCUUAGGAUAACAAUUAGAAACUGAAUGUGCCAGAGGGAAUAUGUGUCUGAUGUGUGUGUCAAAGAGAAAAUUUAGCAAAUUGUAAAUCUGUAAGAAACUAGAACUUGGCCCUCAUGGCUUCAGUUUGGACUGGUUUGAAUUGGGUUGUCAAUUUAAUUGCUACUAACUGGGUUCUCACUUUGCAAACAAACAAACAAAAACCCAAAACUUCUUAUUUAAUUUGAGAGGACAAAGAUCUCUAUCUUUAGGGUUAACACCCUGCCUUCAGCCUCUUCCUCCACCACACUCAUAUUUUUCUGGGGGUCCCCUCUGUUGUUCUCCAGAGCAGCCCAUUCAGCCCCCAAAGAAUGUGCAUAGAUUAUUUUGUCACAGGAAUGGCUCCUUGGAGCACGCAAAUGCACCCUGCAGCAGGUGCUAGCUCGCAGAAGGUUGAACACCAAGGGGGCCAGGCCUGCAAAAGGGAGGCACCAAUGCAGGAUAUGCAAGUCCCCAGGGUGGCAAAGCCUUUUCAUAUUCUAGACACCAGGGCAGGGUGGAGAGGAAAUCCAACUCAGAGAAGGAUGGCGAGUGGUGUGACUGCAGGUGUAGUACAGAGGGUUCACUCUUAGGAAAUCCACCUGAGGGGAGGCAAGGGGAAGCCCCAGGAAAGGGCCGGGGUGCUGGAAAUCUGAGAAAUCUGAGCUGAGAGGCAGGCAGGGUCUGUUUUCAUGCACCACAUGCCCAACCUAACCUGGGCCUUCAGGGAGCUGUCCACACCCUGUCCACAAGCCAUGUGUUCAGGACUUGACCCACAAGCCACCCAGCCUUCUGUACCCAUUCCACACCUCAUUCCAUAUUCUGGUCUCUCCAUGUUUAUUGUCCCUGCUUCCUUGGUCCCUUUCCAGUUCUCUCCUAUAGCAUACCUUUCUUACUAAAGAAGUAACUCAAAGUAAUUCAUCAUUCUUCUUUACUAGGGAUAAAUCAAUGCUAAGAAGUGGUUAAAAAAAAAGAAAGAAAGAAAAAGAAAGAAAGAGAGAGAAAGAAAAAUGUUAAAAAAAAAAAAAGAGCUCCUUAAAGAGAUUUUCUUCCUGUGUAGUGAGAGGAAUUGAAAGAGCAUUGAAUAAAAAGAGAAUUGUACAGAUAAACAGUGGUAUACCAAGGAUGGAGGAUGGGGAGAGUUGUCCAUCAAGGUGAGGAAUAUUUUAUCACUGACAUUGCUUAGAACUGUCAGUGCAUGGUGAUAAUAAAAAGCAGACCGACUUUUUCUUGUAUCUAUUAUUGUUUUAAAAUUCUCCAUGACAUUGCAAUCAUUUUCAUCAAUAGACUUUGAUUUCUCAAUCCAUAAAACGGCAUCCACAAAGCAGAAACAAUGGAGGCCAGGGGAGAUUUAGAUAUCAUUUAUUCCAAUCCUCUCAUUUCACAGUGAAGGAGAUAGGUGGAGAUAGGUGAUGUGACUUGUCCAAGUUGGUGCCAGAGCUAGGUCUUAACCUCAAGUCUCUGAUUCUCUACAUCCAGGAUUGUAUCUAGUACAGAAAGGGGCAGAGCUAGCUCAAAAUUUUACAGUUAUUUUUAGGUCCCUUUCCCAAUUCAACCAAGAACUUUCUCUUAACUACUGAAGGCUCUAAUAAAAUAAUGUGAUCUGUGCCUGAGCCUGAAGACAGCUGUCUCGGAAGAGGAUCAAAAUCCCUCCCCUUACAGUCACCCGAACAUGGACUUGAUGGCUCCCCUGGAUUCUAUUCAUAGAAUGUUCCUGCAUUAUUGCAAUAAAAAGUGCAAAAAAAUCCCCUUUCCCAGGCAUGUUGCUUCCUGCACUGCUCCAACUUUUAUAGCUUCUUCAAUUGGCCACUCCAUGUAGCUUGGGGCAUUAAUUACUCUGCACCCUUCAUUUGGAAGCAGAGCUUCUCUAAAACCUUCAAGUUUUUCUCAGCUCCAGCCAUUGCAGCAACCCCAGCACCUGGGAGCCAUGAGGUCAUUGCCACCUUUCCAGGUCCUACUGAUAUCUUAGAGAUGCAAUAGUGGAAAACAUUAGCAUAUCUGGAACUCAGUUAUGUUUUUAUUCUUCCAUCCUUGGCCAGAAGAGUUUCUUUUCCCAAACCCCUGUGAUACAGAGAUGGGCAUGAUGGCUAUGAGUGCUCUCAAAAACAACCAGAUUUAACAUCAGCUAGAAUAGAGGUUCUAGAAUGAAUGAAGCAAAUCAGCUCCUCCCCCACUGCAGAAAUCAUGACCUGGUGUGCUCCACAAGCAGGCUGAUGUUUUUUCCAGUUGUCCAUUAUUUUUAGAUUAUCCAUGUCAUUCUUCUCAUUAGCCCAAGUCAUUGAGAGUUCACAGUUGGUAUUGCUGAAUCAUUGCCCAAGUCAC